rnacentral:rRNA from 1 species
AGCGAACGCUGGCGGCAUGCCUAACACAUGCAAGUCGAACGAGACCUUCGGGUCUAGUGGCGCACGGGUGCGUAACGCGUGGGAACCUGCCCUUAGGUUCGGACUAACUCCCCGAAAGGGGUGCUAAUACCGGAUAAUGUCUUCGGCCCAAAGAUUUAUCGCCUUUGGUUGGGCCCGCGUUGGAUUAGCUAGUUGGUAGGGUAAAAGCAUACCAAGGCGCCGAUCCAUAGCUGGUCUGAGAGGAUGAUCAGCCACACUGGGACUGAGACACGGCACAGACUCCUACGGGAGGGAGCAGUGGGGAAUAGUGGAAAAUGGGCGAAAGCCUGAUCCAGCAAUGCCGCGUGAGUGAUGAAGGCAUUAGGGUUGUAAAGCUCUUUUACCCGGGAUGAUAAUGACAGUACCGGGAGAAUAAGCUCCGGCUAACUCCGUG